rnacentral:rRNA from 1 species
GAUGAACGCUGGCGGCGUGCCUAAUACAUGCAAGUCGAGCGAACAGACGAGGAGCUUGCUCCUUUGACGUUAGCGGCGGACGGGUGAGUAACACGUGGAUAACCUACCUAUAAUACUGGUAUAACUUCGGGAAACCGGAUCUAAUACCGGAUAAUAUAUUGAACCUCAUGGUUCAAGAGUGAAAUACGGUUUUGCUGUCACUUAGAGAUGGAUCCGCGCCUCAGUAGGUGGUUGGUAAGGUAACGGCUUACCAAGUGAACGAUGCGUAGCCGACCUGAGAGGGUGAGCGGCCACACUGGAACUGAGACUCGGUCCAGACUCCUACGGGGGGCCGCAGUAGGGAAUCAUCCGAAAUGGGCGAAAGCAUGACGGAACAACGCCGCGUGAGUGAAGAAGGUCUCCGGAUCGUAAAACUCUGUUAUUAGGGAAGAAAAAAUGUGUACGCAAAUAUGCAAGUCUUGACGGUACCUAAUCAGAAAGCCACGGCUAACUACGUG